UACGUAGGGUGCAAGCGUUAUCCGGAAUUAUUGGGCGUAAAGAGCUCGUAGGCGGUUUGUCGCGUCUGCUGUGAAAACUCGGGGCUUAACCCCGGGCCUGCAGUGGGUACGGGCAGACUAGAGUGCGGUAGGGGAGACUGGAAUUCCUGGUGUAGCGGUGAAAUGCGCAGAUAUCAGGAGGAACACCGGUGGCGAAGGCGGGUCUCUGGGCCGUAACUGACGCUGAGGAGCGAAAGCGUGGGGAGCGAUCCGG
rnacentral:rRNA from 1 species